UACGUAGGGUGCAAGCGUUGUCCGGAUUUAUUGGGUUUAAAGGGCGCGUAGGUGGCCUUAUAAGUCAGCGGUGAAAGCCUGCAGCUUAACUGUAGGACUGCCAUUGAUACUGUAGGGCUUGAGUACUGAUGAGGUAGGCGGAAUUGAUAGUGUAGCGGUGAAAUGCAUAGAUAUUAUCAAGAACACCGAUUGCGAAGGCAGCUUACUAAGGAGUUACUGACACUGAGGCACGAAAGCGUGGGGAUCAAACAGG
rnacentral:rRNA from 1 species